CUACCCUUGGGAGAGGCUGCCUGUUGCUAGGUGGAGAAGUUUGCUGGGGAAAUUAAAGCCAGGUGAAGGCAGUUCCAACUAGCCUCAACAGCAGAGCUAAGACGCUGAACUGACUCGAAGCUGUCGCACACACUUGGUGGUUCUUUCAACCUGACUGCUCCAACUAGAAAUGUCCAGGAUACUCUUGGAACAUGGUCAAGCUCCCAGUGGCCAGCCCCUUAAAGAGAUAAUUGGAUCCUCUCCCACUCUGUCAGGAGCCAUCAACUGUGAAGAGCUAGACUUCAGCAUCUUUAUCACAAUUUUAAAGAACUCUCUUCAAUGA